rnacentral:rRNA from 1 species
UACAGAGGUCUCAAGCGUUGUUCGGAUUCAUUGGGCGUAAAGGGUGCGUAGGCGGCGCGGUAAGUCGGGUGUGAAAUCUUGGAGCUUAACUCCGAAACUGCAUUCGAUACUGCCGUGCUUGAGGACUGGAGAGGAGACUGGAAUUUACGGUGUAGCGGUGAAAUGCGUAGAUAUCGUAAGGAAGACCAGUGGCGAAGGCGGGUCUCUGGUCAGUUCCUGACGCUGAGGCACGAAGGCCAGGGGAGCAAACGGG